rnacentral:rRNA from 1 species
AUGAGCAGCAAGCUGCCGCCGGCGGCGGCGGCUGCGCCAGCAGCCAAACAUCCGUCGAUCCCCUCCGCCGCUGCCACCACCACCACCACCCUCGCCACCGUCGGCGACGGAACCACAACCAUAUCCUCGCUGGGCCAAGACCAGCUCCUCGAGAUCUUCCUCCGGCUGCCCAACCUGCCGGCCCUCGUCCGCGCCGCGCUCACCUGCCGCUCCUGGCUCGGCGCCGUCCGCUCCUCCCGGCCCUUCCGCCGCCUCUUCCGCGCCCUCCACCCGGCGCCCCUCCUCGGGAUCUUCCUCGAGGUCGACGUCAGCACCGCUCCCUCCUUCGCCCCCCUGCGCCGCUCAGAUCUCGACCUCACCGCCGCCCUCCGCCGCGGCGACUUCUUCCUCACUUCCCUCCUGCUGGGCGACGUCGCUCCCAUCGGCUGGACCGUCACGGACUGCCGCCACGGGUACAUCCUCAUGUGGAACUCGCGCUGGGCCGUGGUCGCGGUGAACCCCAUGACCUGGGCUGUGGACACCAUCCCGUUGCCCGACGAUGUCGCGGACGGGAGCCUCAGCGAUUUCUCCUUCAUCGGCCUCCACCUGCUUUCUUCCGAGGAGAGCCCCAGCUCGUUCGGCGUGGUCUGCAUCUGCGCCGACGUGUCUAGGGUUCGCGCCGCCGUCUUCUCGUCGGGGACGAGGGAUUGGGUCAUCCACCCCUGGGUCGAAAUCGGCGGUGAGUACGGCCUAAAGCACGGUGCUGGCAUGCUGGUGGAUGGUUCCAUUUACUGGCCUUUCUGUGAUGAGGAAACACGUGUGAUCAGGAUAAACACAGCUACCAUGGAUGUCUCCUCUCUGGAUCUACCCUCGUAG